ensembl:lncRNA
CUUUGUUGUCUCAGAACAAUGUCAGAAAGACGAGGCACGGAAACCUCCAGUGGCUGCCGGAUCCCCUCUAGGAAAUUCAUUUAAAUUAUCUUUUUUUUUUUCAGACGUUUUUUUCUCAAACAUCUGCGUAAAGCGAAGUGAACUGCGAGGCUGAUUUGGGCAUGAGGAGGAUACUGAUAUACCGUACAUGCCCAUGGGUUUAUUCGCCUCCUCUGGCUCACCCGAUGCUAAGCGCAGAUGUUUAAGCAGGAGGGGAAACAUAAAAAAUCGACGAGACCCAAAUUAAUUGUUGAGAGAGAUUCCGGGGAACGGAGCGGUGAAUUAAUGUGCUCGUGGACAGGAACGGAAGAAUGGGAAGCACAUCUUCUUUGCUUUUGCUUGUUUUUAUUGGGUAUAUCAACACUGAGGAAGAGCAUACAAUUACUAGAGCCUUUACUUUGCACAAUCGUCUGCCCUAACAGAAAGAGCUUUGUCAUUGUGCCCCAUUAUUUUUUAUACUUUUUCAUAAUUUACAUUUUAAAUGCUAUUGUGUUAUUGACCAUUACGAACAAACACAUGAAGGUGGACCUUACCGUAUUCACCGUAACCUUCCGUUAUUAACCCUGCUCCCCUCCACUUCCCUUUAAUCCUUUACUUUCUACACGUGAUGAAUGGAGGGAAAGUUAGAUUUCCAUGACACGGCUCUUUAUUAUUACCCUGUCGAGCACAUUUAGUCAACAGAGCUGUCACUUGACGGCUAAUCCAUCACGGACAGUUAAUGAAUUCUAAAUCCUGCAAUUUGAGAGACUGCUUGCCCCACAUUCCCCACCCUCAUUCGCCAAAUUACUUCACCCUAAUUCAGCACUUACUUGAUUUGUUUUCCCAUGGGUGGAUGCUGGGUUAUUAAACCUCCGUGUUAUUCCUGUCUGUGUCUGUCCAGUCGGCCCCUUGUCCUCUGGCGUUAACGUAUUGUAUUUGUGUGGUUGUAGGUAGGUGUGUGCGUGUCUGUGUGUUUGUGUGUGUGUGUGUCUGUAGGUUUGUGUUACAUCUCUACCUUGGUUUGUGUGUAUAGAACUAGGUGCGUGUGUGUGUGUGUGUGUGUGUGCGUGUGUGCAGUGCAGCAGUGUCUUUGAAUCAUUAUUCCCUCAUUUCAUCAUUAUCCGGGGACACAAGAGUCCCUCUCUGCUCUCUGUUGACCUUCAGAGUGCUGAUUUCCUUAAGAGGUACACCACGCACUCACACUGCAAACGAUCACCUGCCCACGCACACUAGCGUUGGUGCGCGCACACGACCAGGCUACCCCACACACCCAUCACUGUCCUGUGAUGGGUAGGCUAUGCCCUGACAUUGAUUGGCCACACUUGUUCGCGUCUUAUUUACAAUAAAUGCAGAGGAGAGACAAACACACACACUCACUCACACACACAAACCAUAUUUGGUCAGUUCCGAGUGCCUUCCCUCAUUCUUUGAUCACGAUUUUUUCAGGGACAUUGGCUUCCUUCCAAUGCAUUGCUGUCGCACAAUCAGAUGCAGUAGUCACUCGCUCACACCCACCCUCACUCACUGACUCACUCACACACACAUACACAGAAACACAUUCACUAUUCCCACGUCCAAAUUACCCCUACAUAUACUGUACAUCGACUCAAAUACACAAGGGAACUGAAGGAUGGAGAGUAUAUUAGAUAUUGUAUCGAACCAAAUGGGUGGAAUGAUGGUAUACUGCUAUAGUACUGUGGCAUAGUAUGAUGCAAGUAAAGGAGUCUUUGCACUUAAUAAGGAGCAAUUACAAUGAUAACACUAUUAGAGUCAACCCUUUGACUGGAUCCAGCUGCAGUUCAACUCAAAUGCUGUUAACAUCUCACUUUGACAAUCGCCCUAGACACUGGGGUGAUGGCUGGGUAGCCAGAGAUGCUGACUAUACUGCAAUUAUGCAGAUGAGGAGAGACUGUGUGUGUGUGUGUGUGUGGUUGUGUGUACGUGUGUACGUGUGUGUGACUGUGUCUGCACAAUCUAAAAUGUAUGUAUGUGUUUAUGUUUGUGUGUGUGUAUAGGCAUCUAUAACUGUGUGUGUGUGUGUGUGUAUGCACAUCAAUAGUCUGUGUGUGUGUGUGUGUGCGUGUAGCUUUUCAUCCACCCCCUCAUCCCUACUCUCGUCUGAGUCUGUAUUAUUUGUGUUGGGCAAUGCUUGUUUUACACUGUCUGUACAUGAUGCUGAAUUAGAAAUCAAAACGACUAAGUAGGCCUCGGAAAUUCUUAAUAAGUUUUGGAAAUUACACAUACUAACCAAGAUAUACUCCCUUCUCAGGCAUGGGACAGAAAUUGAACUGGAAAUCUUUUUACUUUGCAGCCACAUAUGCAUUACGUUCCAGUGGUAAACAUUGUGAUUGUUACUUCAUUGGGAAAGAGACAAUGAAAGUUCAGUAGAGUCUGGGUGAGUCACUCAGCUAAUAAAGGGUCGUCCGGCACAUUGUCCUCUACUCAUGAUAAUACUAUCAAAAAACCCUUCUUGUCUCACUCAUCUCUUUAAUCCCUUACUUAACAGAACAUAAAACAUGCUAAAAAACUAAAACACUAGUACCAUUAAGACUCGUGCGAGGCGGUCCACUCUGAGAGUGGCUAAACAGAAUUGAACCCGUAACCCCCUCUAACCAAGUCUAACGAACUGCCACAGGUCCCCCCUCCCCCGCCGCCAAGACAAAGCUCCGAGCCAUCGCUAACCAGCAGAAUGUCGGUUGUUUACAAAGAAAGCCAACUCUGAAUGUAGCCAGACAAUCACCAAUACCAUGGGCAUCCAAGUCAACAAAGGACAAGUCGACCCCAGACGACCAGCACUCCUGGGACAGCUUCAAGACCAUGACCCCCGAGCUGUGCAUCGUCCCUGGGGAACAGAAGGACCGCAUGGAGCUGCACAACAAGACAUGGGACUCUUCCUCCGCUAACACGCCAGACUCAUCCGAAGGAGAUUUUCAGACUGAAGUGUGAAAAACAACACACAUAUACAUAUACACACACCCGCAAGCAAACUAGGACACACACACAUAAAACACAAACGUACACACUCCCUCAGAAUCCGAGAUUGGACUUUCAAAGUCCCGAGCUACUCAAAAGGGCAAACUAAAGUGAACAAGUACAAACCACUGGGCGCACACAACACACGUAUGAACACACACACACACACACACACACACACACACACACACACACACACACACACACACACACACACACACACACACACACACACACACACACACACACACACUUUUACAGACUCUGCUCCAAAUCUCCUGCGAUGUGUUCUAUUAGAUUGCUUACUGUAAUUGUUUACGGCUGCACUGGACUGACAUGGAGGUAAACUGUUCUAUUCUAUAUUUUCACAAAGACUAUCAAAAAUGAAAGAACAGGGGCUUGAAGCAAGUACAGACACACUUUUUGAGAAAAAUAAAAGACCUUUAAGAAAAUCCAACAAAACAACCACAGAAAAAAAAAGACCCUAUGGACGAUGAACGGUUUCUGAAAAAUAAUGUCUUGAUUUUAUUCUAGAGAAGAUGAAGAAAAAAAAGGAAAAUCUCUUUCACCUGUUUAAUGAUUUUGAAAAAGUUGAAAAAAGAAAAGAAUAUUUCUGCACCGUUAAGUUCUUUUUAUAGAAAGGAAAAAAAAAAUCUCACUGCUGUUUUCACACCGUUAGUCCCCCUAGGCCCCCCAGUCAUCUUCUGUUUUCUUUCCCAGUGUAAUGGAGGAUGCAAGCACUCUUUUUUUUUUUUACUGUACGUUUCUCUCUAUAGAUGGUUCCGGAGAGUUGGUCGGGGUUGAAGGGAAAAAAAGAGUCGUUUAAUGAUAUGUGCCAUUCCUCUGCUACGUCUUCUCUUCUCCGUCUGCAAUGUAAUCUUGUUUUCCCCUUCUUUGUAUUUUCUAUGAUUUAGAUAUGAGAUGUCCUCCCUAACGUUAAACUGUUGAGGAAAAUUAUAUCAAAAGUCAAACAGGAUCAACAAAGAACCCUUUCUGCACAAUUAUGUUCUACGGUCUUAAUUGUACAAGAAUAAUCAAUUUAUUUUGGGAUUGCUUUGGUUCGUCUGGCUUUUUGCUUGCUUUGCCUUUUUUUAGAUUCCUUUAUUAGGGUUUAUCCCUUGUGAAAACCAAACCAAUAUUCCACAUAUACACACACCUCAUCUUUGUGAGCUUGCCUGAGGUCCUGUGUGUGUUGCAUGUUGCUCCGUCCCGAUUGGAAAACAACAAGAACAAAUAUUGCCCACUUGACACUCUCUCACCCUCUCACACACACUCCUUGGGAAUAUUUCCAUUCGGAAGAAUGCAACAUUGGAAUCGAUUUUGGGAAAAACGCCAGAGAUACGUUCCCAUCGUGGGCUGUUUGCUGUGCCAUUCAAGAGUCUGCAAAACUCGCCUCAUAUUUUCUCCAUGACUCCCUCCUUCCCACAUACAGGCCUGAUACACAGGCAUCAAUACCCUGCUCAGAGCCAGGUAUCGACUGGUUUGCCAGCCCGCUCAUCCCCUGUAGUUACUAAGGAAAUGACCUCGUGCCCUCCAGACUGCUUGCUGAGACGUGGCAGCCUACGCUCUCUUGCCAUUUGCGAUCAAGAGCAACUGCUGCGGUGGAGGGGAAAGACGUGCACAAAGAGACGGAGACGGCAGAGGCUGUGCUCUGACCAACGUGUCCUCUGGAGUUCUGCCCCCGCCCCCCCUCCUCCCCCAUUGGUCCUUGUUUUAUCCACCAUUGACGUGUUCCAAUCUGCCCCCCCUAAAUAGAAGAAGAAAAACAGAUGAUAUCAAAUGUUAAUGUGACAUUGCAUUAAUACAUAUGGGCUUAAUAUAUGGUGAGGGGGCGCUGACAGACAGACAUACAGACAGUCGAGGACGGAUCGUGAUGACGUCAUUCAGGCAGAAAGAGACAAAGUGGGAUCCUAAAGGAUGAGACAAGUAGCCAAUCAGAAGGGAUGUUAAAUUAAGCAGUGAGGCUGGGGGGGGGGGGGCAGACAGGGGGGAGUCAAAAUGCCAGGGGGAGCCUGAUGGAAAGAUAUUUUUACCUGACAUUUUUAGAUUGCAGUCUCCCAAAAAACAAAUGGAAGGUCUAGUUCUUUGCCGUGGAAGCAUUAGCAUAUUACUCAUGCAAAACACCAGCAGAGAGGGGAGAUGGUCAGAGUGCACCAUGAACGCAGUAGAUGGCCCGAUAACUUCCCUCCAUGUCUUUUUACACAGCCUUCCAAUUAGCCGAACGUUAGUGGGCAGAUAGAUGAUAGCACAGUGUAGGAGAGAACGGCAGACUUAAAGGGGGGGGGGGGAUGGCAAGUAAAUCAAAAGAGGGGCAGCAGUGGAUGCAGAUCAAGAGAGGGAGAGUGGAAAACAGUAAUUACCACGGGGAUGGCGAUUUGUCCUGACAUUUUCAGACACAACCCUCAAACCAUCUGUUUAAAGAUCCCUAGUGUGGUAACGCAGCGCAGUGCAGAUGGCAAGACAAGAGCACAGUCCUAGCUAACCUUUUCAAGCUAAUCGGCGAUACGCAGAGAAAAAAUAACCACCUACCCUCCCUCCCUCCCUCCCUCGCGGAAGAGAGAGGGAGGGAGGGUAGAUGGAUAGAUCUGGGGCCCCCAAGUCGUGUGUUUUCCGGGUUCACAUUCACCUUGCUCUCCGCGAGGUCACGCUUGGUCUCUACAUGGUCUCCAGACAUCUGGACCAGAGCCUGUUGACACCAUCUCCCAUGUACAACCUUGUGAGAAGGGUGUGUUGGCUCAGCGAUCUUCCACUUCGAGUCAAUCUGGACCGCAGCGGCAACUGCACUAUUAACGAGUUGCAAUGGACGAUUCAGGAGUCUCAUCUUCAAUCUGAAAAAUGUGUCUGAUAAUUAUUUUCAAAUAUUAUUGUGAUCAUUAUUAUUACUAUUAUGAUUCCGCUGCUAGUGUUUUUCCGUCACGAUUCAUUCAUGCUUGUCGGGGGAUUUCUCUGUUGUAUUCUCAAAGGAAGGUGAGUGCUAUGGUUUAUUUUUGUUAGGGUCUGAAGCUGUUUGGAAGUUCACAUCCACAGUGAAGUAUUAACCAAGCGGCAUCACGCAACAAUCUUGUCCUUGAUCUACUUGUUCUAGGCUUUGCCCUUUGAGUGUCUUUUGGAAAGUUCAAAGAGCCUGCAGUAUCAUUCAUGUCACACCAACACACAGUGAACUGCGCAUUUCAAAGUUUUGAACAACUAUGCACACAGGCUUAUUAACACACAAGUACAGCAAAAGCAUCCGGUCCCCUCUUUAAUUCAUUUGGAGUAUUGCUUCAAGAGAAAUUCUCCCUUAACCCUCUAUCUUUCUCUCUCUCCCUCCCCUCCUCCUGCUCUCAUUCUCCUGUUUUAUUUUAUAAAUAUCUGUAUAAUUAUAGAAAAAGUAGUCCUCUGAUGUUUUCAUAGUGUCUUUUUUAUAUGAAAAAUAAAUUUUCAAAUGAUAAGCGUCUCGCACUAUAUGUGCAUUUCACACGGACAUCGGACAUCGUUUUGUACCACUGCGGUACAAAACCGCAUGCUUCCGGAAAAGCACUGAAGCUUAGCUGUGACUGAUCGAAGGCCACGCCGGUCUCUUCGAAACAACCAACAGCGGAAAGCAUGUCCGUUCGAACAGAGUGCUGCGUUAAGGGAUCGGGUCCACUUUAAGCCACGUCCAUGCCGGCAGUAAUCUUCCUACCGAUUUAAGUAUCUUUUUGUUUCUAAUGAUAUGUUAUCUAAGAUGACUGUCUGCACACAAAAAUGGUUUUAAAAAGCACAAACAGCAGGGAUGGAAGAAUAAAACAUUGGAUAGGACGUUGUACAGCAUGCACGGCUGAAGCCGGCGGCACGAGAUCGCCCCUCCAGGGAGGGACACUGCAGAUGAUGAAGUGCGGAUUUAACCGUCCUUACUGGUUACUCCAGGGAACGGCAGCGGGGGCAUAAACAAGGGCAGGGUUAAGAGAGGUGAGGGCACUGAGGAACAAGGAAGAGAUCAGGGUUGACCUCCACCCUGAUCCCCACCACCCCACCGCCAACCAUCCACCCAAGAGAAAUAAAGGCACGGUGACAUUGUCAAAGUUA